rnacentral:rRNA from 1 species
UACGGGGGGAGCAAGCGUUGUUCGGAUUUACUGGGCGUAAAGGGCGCGUAGGCGGUCGUGACAAGUCACUUGUGAAAUCUCCGGGCUUAACUCGGAACGGUCAAGUGGUACUGCUGCGCUAGAGUGCGGAAGGGGCAACUGGAAUUCUCGGUGUAGCGGUGAAGUGCGUAGAUAUCGAGAGGAACACCUGCGGCGAAGGCGGGUUGCUGGGCCGACACUGACGCUGAGGCGCGAAAGCUAGGGGAGCAAACAGG